rnacentral:rRNA from 1 species
AUUGAACGCUGGCGGCAGGCCUAACACAUGCAAGUCGAACGGUAACAGGAAGAAGCUUGCUUCUUUGCUGACGAGUGGCGGACGGGUGAGUAAUGUCUGGGAAACUGCCUGAUGGAGGGGGAUAACUACUGGAAACGGUAGCUAAUACCGCAUAACGUCGCAAGACCAAGGAGGGGGACAUUCGGGCCUCUUGCCAUCGGAUGUGCCCAGAUGGGAUUAGCUAGUAGGUGGGGUAACGGCUCACCUAGGCGACGAUCCCUAUCUGGUCUGAGAGGAUGACCAGCCACACUGGAACUGAGACACGGUCCAGACUCCUACGGGAGGCAGCAGUGGGGAAUAUUGCACAAUGGGCGCAAGCCUGAUGCAGCCAUGCCGCGUGUAUGAAGAAGGCCUUCGGGUUGUAAAGUACUUUCAGCGGGGAGGAAGGGAGUAAAGUUAAUACCUUUGCUCAUUGACGUUACCCGCAGAAGAAGCACCGGCUAACUCCGUG